UUGACCUCGGAUCAGGUAGGACUACCCGCUGAACUUAAGCAUAUCAAUAAGCGGAGGAAAAGAAACCAACAGGGAUUGCCCCAGUAACGGCGAGUGAAGCGGCAACAGCUCAAAUUUGAAAUCUGGCCUUCGGGUCCGAGUUGUAAUUUGGAGAGGAUGCUUCUGGCGCGGCGCCGUCCGAGUUCCUUGGAACAGGACGCCAUAGAGGGUGAGAGCCCCGUACGGGCGGCCGCCUAGCCUUUGUGAAGCUCCUUCGACGAGUCGAGUAGUUUGGGAAUGCUGCUCAAAAUGGGAGGUAAAUUUCUUCUAAAGCUAAAUAUUGGCCAGAGACCGAUAGCGCACAAGUAGAGUGAUCGAAAGAUGAAAAGCACUUUGAAAAGAGGGUUAAAAAGUACGUGAAAUUGUUGAAAGGGAAGCGCCUGUGACCAGACUUGCGACCCGCGGAUCAUCCGGUGUUCUUCACCGGUGCACUCCGCGGGCUGCAGGCCAGCAUCGGUUUUCCUAGGGGGAUAAAGGUCGCGGGAACGUAGCUCUUUCGGGAGUGUUAUAGCCCGUGGCGUCAUGCCUCUGGGGGGACCGAGGACCGCGCUUCGGCAAGGAUGCUGGCGUAAUGGUCACCGGCGACCG
rnacentral:rRNA from 1 species